rnacentral:lncRNA from 1 species
UGAAACUCUGCUGUCUUGGGGGCUGAGAAAAUCAGGAAAGUGCACUAGUUUGACAUAAUCCCUCUUUGUCUAAUUUAUACUAAAACAAAUGCCCUAAUUAUGAUUUGAAGGCUGUUAGAUUUCUACCAUGGAGACGUUGUGGGGCCAUUGGGACAAAAGAAGAUAAUAAAGAAGGAACUCCUUUAAGCUGUGAGUUCUCUGUGUGAAGACUGCUAUUAAAAUCAGUAAGUACAGGCUAAUUUACUUAACAAUUUAGUGAAUCUUAAAUUUAUCUGGUUGUGGUUUUUGUA